GCGGCUCAUUGGUACAGCACUUGCCUAACAUGCAAGAGGCCCUGGGUUCAAUUCCAAGCGCC
rnacentral:tRNA from 1 species